GAGAACAAAAGACGGCGAUGCUACUGCUAAAGCUAGAGCGGGGAGGGAAGCACUACGGUAGGAACAAUCAGAUACAUUUGUUUUGUUAUUUGUAUGUUCACGGUUAGGAAUAUUAUGUUUAUAAUUUUUGGAUGUUGUAUUUUUACAUUUUGGAUGUUGAUGUUGUUGUUUCAUAAAUAACAAAUCGACGCUGGUGUAUUUUUCUAGAUCGAUGGAUGUUGAUUUGUAGUUCAAAAUGUUGCUUUUAUGAUUUUUAGAUAUUAUGUCAUGUUUUAAUUGUUGUGAUCCUAGCUUUUCUUAUAUUAGGACUGAUUAAUGGAUAUAUUACAUGAUAUGAAUGUAAUAUUGUUGUAGCGGGAAAUUUUUCAUGGAAUUGAAAGCCUGUUAUGAGCUUUUCAGGUGCAUUUUUUAUGUUGCAAAUGUUGACUUAUGAUGUUGCAAUUAUUGUUCUUAUAUAUAUUUUAAUAUACUGUUAGAGUGUAGAUGGAAAUUUCCUGUCAGAUAUCUAGAGGCUAGCGACACCUAUUUGUUUGACCAUGUUGUCAACAGGCAAAAGGUCCAUGCUACAAAUAGGUUGGCCAGUGUGCUCGAUGUGGCCGCAUAAGUAAAGGAGAUGCUAAGCCCUCC
rnacentral:lncRNA from 1 species